rnacentral:misc_RNA from 1 species
GAUGAAGAACGCAGCGAAAUGCGAUACUUGGUGUGAAUUGCAGAAUCCCGUGAACCAUCGAGUCUUUGAACGCAAGUUGCGCCCGAAGCCAUUAGGCCGAGGGCACGCCUGCCUGGGCGUCACACGUCGUUGCCCCCCCCAUCUACUCCUUCGGGAUUGCGGGGGGCGGAUGAUGGCCUCCCGUGCGCCUCGCCGCGCGGUUGGUAUAAAUGCCGAGUCCUCGGCGACGCACGCCACGACAAUCGGUGGUUGCGAAACCUCGGUUGCCCGUCGUGUGCGGUCGUCGCGCAUCGAGGGCUCGAAAAAAUUGCCGAGUUCCGGCUCGGCUUUCAACGCGACCCCAGGUCAGGCGGGGUUACCCGCUGAAUUUAAGCAUAUCAAUAAGCGGAGGA